UACGAAGGGUGCAAGCGUUAAUCGGAAUUACUGGGCGUAAAGCGUGCGUAGGCGGUUUCUUAAGUCCGUUGUGAAAGCCCUGGGCUCAACCUGGGAACUGCGAUGGAUACUGAGGAGCUGGAGUACGGUAGAGGAAGGUGGAAUUCCCGGUGUAGCGGUGAAAAUGCGUAGAGAUCGGGAGGAACAUCAGUGGCGAAGGCGGCCUUCUGGGCAUUUUCCUGACGCUGAGACGCGAAAAGCGUGGGGAGCGAACAGG
rnacentral:rRNA from 1 species